rnacentral:rRNA from 1 species
AGGCCUACGGGGGGCAGCAGUAGGGAAUCUUGCGCAAUGGGCGAAAGCCUGACGCAGCCAUGCCGCGUGAAUGAUGAAGGUCUUAGGAUUGUAAAAUUCUUUCACCGGGGACGAUAAUGACGGUACCCGGAGAAGAAGCUCCGGCUAACUUCGUGCCAGCAGCCGCGGUAAUACGAAGGGGGCUAGCGUUGCUCGGAAUUACUGGGCGUAAAGGGCGCGUAGGCGGACAGUUUAGUCAGAGGUGAAAGCCCAGGGCUCAACCUUGGAAUUGCCUUUGAUACUGGCUGUCUUGAGUACGGGAGAGGUGAGUGGAACUCCGAGUGUAGAGGUGAAAUUCGUAGAUAUUCGGAAGAACACCAGUGGCGAAGGCGACUCACUGGCCCGUUACUGACGCUGAGGCGCGAAAGCGUGGGGAGCAAACAGGAUUAGAUACCCCGGUAGUCGA